rnacentral:rRNA from 1 species
UACGUAGGGGCCGAGCGUUGUCCGGAAUUAUUGGGCGUAAAGCGCGCGCAGGCGGCCUCGCGCGCCCGACGUGAAAGCCCCCGGCUUAACCGGGGAGGGUCGUUGGGGACGGCGGGGCUUGAGGGCGGGAGAGGUCGGUGGAAUUCCCGGUGUAGUGGUGAAAUGCGUAGAGAUCGGGAGGAACACCUGUGGCGAAGGCGGCCGACUGGGCCGACCCUGACGCUGAGGCGCGAAGGCGUGGGGAGCGAACGGG